rnacentral:lncRNA from 1 species
GGGAGUUCUAGGGGAUCUCGGUCUUCAUGCUCCGGGAGGCAUCUUUAUGAUCCUCACCGGCCGUUCCGGGGUGACCUCGGGGCCCCGCCGGCAGUUUUUUGUGCCUUCUUGAGGUUUUUGCACAAGAUUCAGGCUCAUUGGCCUUACUGUCGCUUCGUCAUCUCAGCUGGUUUUGUGCCUAACUGAGGUCUUGUUUCAAGGGAUCUUUCUGAGCCCUGUUCUUUCUUUUUCAUGGAG